GAGAUCUGUUACAUUGAAAAGAAACUGUGAUCACUGCCUGGAGAAUUUGUUGCUGAGGUCUAUAAGCUCAUUCAGAAAGUUUUUGUAGAAUUAUAUUAAAACAAGGAGGAGUAACAAACAAGGAUUAAAAAAUAUUUCAGCAUUAGUCAGAUGCCUGUCAGAGGAUGGAAUCAUCUGAGAAAACAGAGGAUCCUGCUUUACGUGAAUGAACUUUUCCCCUCAAUUAGUGCUUGUUCUUAAGGCACAAGAAAUCGGAUCCAGGGCUACAACAAACUGAGAAGAAAUCAGAGACUUGGCAAGCCCAAGUGGCUAAACCUGUUCCUGGUUCAGAAAAUGUAAUAUGAGAGGC